UACGGGGGGGGCAAGCGUUGUUCGGAAUUACUGGGCGUAAAGGGCUUGUAGGUGGCCAACUAAGUCAGACGUGAAAUCCCUCGGCUUAACCGGGGGAACUGCGUCUGAUACUGGAUGGCUGGAGUGUGGGAGAGGGAUGCGGAAUUCCAGGUGUAGCGGUGAAAUGCGUAGAUAGUCUGGAGGAACACCGGUGGCGAAGGCGGCAUCCUGGACCAUUACUGACACUGAAAAGCGAAAGCCAGGGGAGCAAACGGG
rnacentral:rRNA from 1 species